UCCGGUGAUCCUGCCGGACCUGACUGCUAUCGGAUUGAUACUAAGCCAUGCGAGUCUUUGCAGUAAUGCAAGGCGGACUGCUCAGUAACACGUAGUCAACUUAACCUAUGGAUGGGUAUAACCUCGGGAAACUGAGAAUAAUUCCCAAUAGAUCAUUUAUCCUGGAAUGGUUAGUGAUUGAAAUGAUUCGUCGCCAUAGGAUAGGACUGCGGCCUAUCAGCUUGUUGGUGAGGUAAAGGCCCACCAAGGCUAUUACAGGUACGGGCUCUGAGAGAAGAAGCCCGGAGAUGGGUACUGAGACACGGACCCAGGCCCUAUGGGGCGCAGCAGGCGAGAAAACUUUGCAAUGUGCGAAAGCACGACAAGGUUAAUCCGAGUGAUUUCUGCUAAAGAAAUCUUUUGCCAGUUCUAAAAAUACUGGUGAAUAAGGGGUGGCAAGUUCUGGUGCCAGCAGCCGCGGUAAU
rnacentral:rRNA from 1 species